ACCGGCACUGUAUUGACAUACAGAAUGCCACCAAGCUUGACCAACACAUUCAUCACCAAUUACGAUACUGGGCUGCUCUCCAAUUGGUUGUAUUUCCUGUGAUUCGACCACUUCUUGUUGUUGUAUAAAACAAAGUACUGGCUUCAAUAGCAUCAUUUGCAUUUGAUAAUUUGGAUAGUUUUGUUUACUUUUAUUAUUUAUUAAUAUCUUUAUGUAAUAUAUAAUUA